rnacentral:misc_RNA from 1 species
UACGGAGGGUGCAAGCGUUAUCCGGAAUCACUGGGCGUAAAGGGCGCGUAGGCGGUUUGUUAAGUCCGAUGUUAAAGACCGAGGCUCAACCUCGACAAGGCGUUGGAUACUGACAAGCUUGACGGCCGGAGAGGCGAGUGGAAUUACCAGUGUAGCGGUGGAAUGCGUAGAUACUGGUAGGAACACCCAUUGCGAAGGCAGCUCGCUGGACAGCACGUGACGCUGAGGCGCGAAAGUGUGGGGAGCAAACCGG